GGGCGAGUGGCGGAAUUGGUAGACGCGCUGGGUUCAGGACCCAGUGAGCAUUUUAGCUCGUGGAGGUUCGAGUCCUCUCUCGCCCA
rnacentral:tRNA from 1 species